CUUUUUCACUAGCCAUCUCCAAGAGUUUAUUACAACAUUAUUAUAGGCCAGAAUAAAGUAAAGCAAAGAAAAUACAUCGGAAAUCAAAAGUACAACCAAGGAGGUCCUAAUUCAGACUUCUUGUCUGAAAUAUGAAGUAAACCAGCUCCAAUAGAUCAUGUUCCAAAGUCUUUCCCCAUUUGGAUGUGUCAAAGUUCCCUAAAAGUCUCAUAUGAACUCAGGGCAGUUCUCACGCCCAAAUGUAUCACCAGAUAGUGAAAUAGUGCAAUAUGGUUAGGCCAGCCUCAAGUGUCCAAGUUCAAAUGGAACUCAAGGUCCCAAGGCAAAGCUCACAAGAGAGGGGUAGAACUUAGGGACUAAAAGAGAGUGCAAGUGCAGAAAUAGAAUAUUGAAAGGGGAAAGGGAGAAAGGGAAUAAUUUAAAUUAGUACACAUAGGGGUACAUGGGAAUGAGGAGGUUGCGAAUAGGCAAAACUAUACUGGUGGGCACACCCAGCAAUGGGAGAUGUUGGCACACCCAUACGCCUAUUAGAACAUAUUGUAUAAAGGUUAGACCCCAAGGGACCAAACUUAACUCAUGGACAACAACUUACAUUGCCAUGCCUUAAGUCAUAAUGCAAAACACAUAUAGGGGCAAGGGUUUGGGGGUUCAUGAUAAAACAAACAGAAGGAAAUCGGCUUGCCAGUUUAAGUGCUGAAAUAUAAAGAAACAGUAAGUAAUCAUAGAUACAAAACGCAAUAAAUACAUAUAGUUGUGAUGCUGAAGCUUAAAUUAGGACUUAUCAGUUUCAAAGAAAUAAAUAAAGGGAAGCAGUAGGUCUUUCAAAACAACCCACGGUGUAGAAAAGAAGAGAAUAUUAUUGUGUCGGUGAGAGUCAGAAAGAUUGUGAAUCCCCCCUUUUCAGUUUGUGAAAGGUUCGUGCCUUUAUAUUGUGAAAAUCAAGCAGAAAUAAGGUAAGAAAAUAGUUGAGGAACUGAAUAUCAAUUAAGAAUAGACCACACAAGACUUCCUUUAAUUAAGGAAUUCAGAUUCAAACGGGUAAAACUAUUUGAGGAAAGAAAUUAAACAAACAUCUUUGUGCAGAGUAGGCAAUUAGGAGCAAAUACAUAAAAAGUUAUUUAAGGAUAGAGUUUUGAAGUACAUGGUGUACAAACAAGGUAAGAAAAUCAAUUAGUAGCCAGUAAAUCAAUGAUCAGGGAUCUUGUAAUUAUUGAUCCAUGAAUGAACCAAGUCAAAAAAUCUGAGAAGGGUUUUAAGAAUAAGUCGAGUCAUAAGGAAAAACAGCAAAUAAGGAAGGAAAAUCAAUUAGUCUUAUUUAUAAGUAAGUCUGAUCUAAUCACAAAUUUGAAAACCCCUUUAGAUGGAAGUUUGUCAUAUAUAAAGAACAUGUAGACAUAUGAGAGAAGGGUCGUGUCAUUGAAAAAUUAGUAGAAAAAAUCCAAUGUAGAAGAGUUUAGCAAAAGGUUAGAAUCAUAUGAAAAUAGGGAUGUCCAAACUCAGUUCAGAGACUUGAAAUUGGUGUGAAAGAGUUAGGGAUUUCAAAAUAAAACCCUAUUUCAAGUAAAUCACAUAAUCAAACUUGGAAGAACCCCACAUUCUAAGGUUUCCACCAAGAAUUGAGUGCGGAAUUGAGAGGGCAAGUAAUUAAAUCGAAACGGGUUCAGAGGCCUCAAAAAAGACUAAAACCUCUAACAUGUUCCUUUCAGCAAC
rnacentral:lncRNA from 1 species